UACGGGGGGGGCAAGCGUUGUUCGGAAUUACUGGGCGUAAAGGGCGCGUAGGCGGCCGGCUCAGUCGAACGUGAAAUCCCCGGGCUCAACCCGGGAACUGCGUUCGAUACUGGCUGGCUUGAAUCCGGGAGAGGGAUGCGGAAUUCCAGGUGUAGCGGUGAAAUGCGUAGAUAUCUGGAGGAACACCGGUGGCGAAGGCGGCAUCCUGGACCGGCAUUGACGCUGAGGCGCGAAAGCCAGGGGAGCAAACGGG
rnacentral:rRNA from 1 species